AUGCAUUCUAUUCGUUUAAGAUAAGCUGGCAAUAAAGAAGCGGUAAGAUCAUCCAUGGUGGGCUUUUUUGUUGUGCUUAUUUUGCGAAUUGAGACAUAGAUAGGGGUGAAGUGUAACCAUUUGAGGUUAUACCUUUUGGCCAAUGUCUCUUUGACGUGAUAUGCAGACUAAAAGCCCGCACUGCGGAUUUUAGUCUGCUUUUUAU
rnacentral:ncRNA from 1 species